GCCAGAUCUUAUGGAGGCAUUUUCUCCACUGAGGCUCCUUUCUGUCCAAAGACUAGCUUGCAUCAAUUUGACACAAAACCAUCCAGUGCACUGAGACAGUGAAAACUGCAACAAGUUCAAGGCCCACCCAGGCUACAGAGUGAGACAAAACCAAAAGGAAAAUUAAUUAAAUAAGCCCAGACAGCCAGGUGGUGAUGCAAGCUAUGAGGACGAUAAACCAGGUUAAAGGGAUAGAGAAGGACAGGGCUUUCUAGUGUGGGUGGAGCCACUCAUGUCCUAUGUUUGGUUUAUUACUAAAGGUGUUAGGAACAGAGCCUGAGCCCCUACACCCUCAACAAGCUAGGCUGGACUAUGCAUUUUCAAUAGCUCAGUUAAACAGACAAAGUAGAGAGCUGAGAAAGGAGAUUAAUCCAAUGUGGCAACACUGGAAAGAAGGAUAAAUAAAGAGGUUCAGUGAUCCUGAGUCCACCUUUCAUGGUCUUGAGAUGGAGUUGAGAUUUAAGUAGAGGCCAGAGGUAUAAAUGACUAAGCAGUCGUGGCUAGGUGUGCCCCUGUUGCCGUGCUCUUGGCUCCCUCGGUCUCUCCUGCAAGGUAGUCUGACAAGCUGUCAGAAAUGUGGGAAAUCUCUGCCUAUAGGACAAUCUCCUCUUCCUUUGCCCAGCUCCAGGUGUCAUCUUUUUCCCCUCUCCCAGCGUAAGAUUCGUGGAGAAAUGGCAGCUUCUGAUAGUCAAAGGAGGAGGCACAAAUAUCUCCAUAGAAUAUCCUCACUUCUGCAAGAAAGACUGAAUUCACAGAGCCUGACUUGGUCUUUCUAAUUUUGUUUGCUGAUACUCCCAGAAGAAUCAAGGAAUGAGAGAGUUCAAAGGCUAGAAGCAGAAAAUCAGAUGGCAAAGGCACUUCUAGUCAAGAGAGUUGCUCACAGUACAGCAUAAGGUACCAAGUCUGUUUCCUCCCCUGGGUCUCUUCACCUCUCUUAGCUGGCCUGCCCUAUCACAUCUGGCCCUGGGACAAAGCCACAGAAUCCACCUAUUUGUGUCUUUGAGGCUCUGAACUGCAUUUCUGAGUGGCAAGUGGGCCUGGAACAGAGACCAGCCAAGCUGUGGAAUAUGAGGACAGGUUUCCAAUGACAUGGAGUCCGGCGUGAGUAGAACAUAGAGUGGAGAGAGCAGAGUGGAGAAUUAUACUGGACAGGCAGCUGGGGCCAGAUCAUGCAAGACCCUAAUGGCCAGGCCGGCAGGCAGCCUCCAUGUUCGCACUGAUGUCUGCUGAGAGGUGCCUGGCAGACAGCUUGCAUUUUGGCAUAGUGAAAACAAGCAGAAAUGAGCUUCGGUGGUGCACACGUUGAGUCCCAACACUCAACGUGGGUCAGAGGCAGACAGAUCUCUGUAAGUUCAAGGCCAGCCUGCUCUACAGACCAAGUUCUGAGACAGUCAGUGAUACACAGAAGAACCCGUUCUUGAGAGGGAGAGGGAGGGAGAGGAACAGGAAAGGAAAGGAAAAAAAAGUUUUGUGAGAAAGAGCAAAUUCUUUGUCAAAGAAGAUGGAGUUUAAUGGUGUGGUGUGUUGUACUUUCUAAAAAACUCUAUUACUUUUGUUUCUUUUAUCUCUUUCUCCCUACUCCGUGCCAAUCCCUUCCAUCACCCCAACACCAGGUAAGAGAGAGAAAGGGUUAAUGGGAGAGGAGCCACAUUUCUUUCUUUGCUGCUUUCUGCUGGUUAGGGUCUUCAGGUUCCAUGGAGCCAGCCCAGUCCUGAUUUCAGGAGAUCUCCAACUUCUUGUCUCACAACAGCAACCAGGAGCUCCAAGGGGAAAGCAGGAGCAGCCUUGUUCCUUCUCCAGUCUCCACUCGCUGGGCUCUGGCAUUUAUCCUCUCACUAGAGUCCUCAGAGUCAAACCAUCUGCAGCUGGCAAAGAGCUCUUUUUGGAGCCUGCAAGAAGCAAAUAGUCUGCUGCUUUGAACCAUCUGAAUCAGUCGCACAUUCCGCACCUGGGGCCACAACAAAAACAUGUUUAUAUCCUGUAUCACCACAACAGCCGUGAUCCAUAUUUCUGACAGUAUCUCUUAACUCCACAGAGACUGAACUACUACCAGACCUUGAACCAAGGUACCCUUUUAGGCCCCUGACCCAGAAUAUUGUAUACCUGUUGUAAUCAUUUGUUGAAAGCAGCCAACAGGCCGGAAAGCAACCUUAUACAGCAAAUAUGCCACAAAUGUUGAAAGACGCGUGUGGCUAUCACUUGAAAGCAUCAGUUUGUGGUUGGGAAUGCUAUUCUGGGUAAGUUGUGGUAAGUAAAGUAAUUUAUUCCCUUGUAAAAUUUUGUGAAGGCUUUCUGUAAAGAAUCCUUAUUCCAGUCCUCUACCAUGUUCUCUGUGCUAGUCAAUAAAUACAGAGCAAAGCUCUUUUUGGGGGACAGGCCCAGAUUCAGACAGACACACAGGCACAACCCACAGAAAUAAACAGAUCGAGCACACAUAACAGACAGGAUAGUAACCGAAAAACACAGAAAGACAGCAGACAUAGGGAGAGGUAUGGAGAAUUCAAAUUUGGGUUUUCUCUUGGUCAAACUAAUUCAAGAGGAAGUUACUUUGUUUCCAUCCCUGAAUGUGCAUAAUGAAAUUAACAUUACUUUUUCUUUUUUAAAUUCUUAUUUAUUUUUUUAUUGGAAAUAUAUUCUUCUCUCAUAUAAUAAAUCCUGACCAUAAUUUCCCUUCCCUCCACUCCUCCAAGCUUCUCCUUACCUCCCCUGUCCCCAGAUCCACUCCCCAUACUUUCCUCUUCAGAAAAGAGCAGACCUCCAAGCUAAACAGGACAAAAGAAGAUACAAUAAGACAAAGCAAACGUCCUCAUAUUGAGGCUGGACAAGGCAACCCGGUAAGAGAAAAGCCUCCCAGGAACACGCAGAAGAGUCGGAGACACACCCACUCCCACUGUUAAGAGCUCUACUAAGCCACCAAGCUAAUAGCCACAACAUAUACACAGGGGACCUCGUGUUGUGGAUAUAAACAUGUUUUUAUUUUGGUCCCAGGUGUGAGAUGUGAGACUGAAUCAGACGGUCCUCAGGCAGGCUCUAAAAGGAGCUCUUUGCCAGCUGCAGAUAGUUUGAAUCUGAGGACUCUGGAGAGGGAAUAAAUGCCAGAGCCCAGCGAGUGGACACUGGAGAAAGAACAAUGCUGCUCCUGGCUGCUGUUGUGAGACAAGAAGUUGGCGAUCUCCUGAAGUGAGGACUGGACUGGCUCCAAGAAUCUCACGACCCUAACCAGCAGGAAGCCGCUAAGAGAACUGCAACCUCUCUCUCACUAACCAUUUCUCUCUCCUACCUGAUGUUGGGCUGAUGGAAGGGAUUGGGGUGGAGUAGGGAGAAAAAGAUAUAAAGAAUGUAAAUUAAA